rnacentral:ribozyme from 12 species
UCUCUUGUUUUUUUCUAGUUGCUGUUGUUUUUUUUGUUUUUUUUCUCGUUCGAAUGUGCAACAUGUCAAAAGCUGGAGAGAGGA